CUACGGAAGGCAGCAGUAGGGAAUAUUGCACAAUGGGCGCAAGCCUGAUGCAGCAACGCCGCGUGCGCGAUGAAGGCCUUCGGGUCGUAAAGCGCUUUUCUGGAGGACGAGGAAGGACGGUACUCCAGGAAGAAGGCUCGGCUAACUACGUGCCAGCAGCCGCGGUAAAACGUAGGAGCCUAGCGUUAUCCGAAUUCACUGGGCGUAAAGCGCGUGCAGGCGGUUCGGUAAGUUGGAUGUGAAAUCUCCUGGCUCAACUGGGAGAGGACGUUCAAGACUGUCGGACUAGAGGACGGUAGAGGAAGGUAGAAUUCCCGGUGUAGUGGUGAAAUGCGUAGAUAUCGGGAGGAAUACCAGUGGCGAAGGCGGCCUUCUGGGCCGUUCCUGACGCUCAGACGCGAAAGCUAGGGGAGCAAACGGGAUUAGAAACCCCAGUAGUCCA
rnacentral:rRNA from 1 species